rnacentral:rRNA from 1 species
UGGGGAAUCUUGCGCAAUGGGCGAAAGCCUGACGCAGCCAUGCCGCGUGGAUGAUGAAGGUCUUAGGAUUGUAAAAUCCUUUCAGCGGGGACGAUAAUGACGGUACCCGCAGAAGAAGCCCCGGCUAACUUCGUGCCAGCAGCCGCGGUAAUACGAAGGGGGCUAGCGUUGCUCGGAAUUACUGGGCGUAAAGGGCGCGUAGGCGGACAGUUAAGUCGGGGGUGAAAGCCCGGGGCUCAACCUCGGAAUUGCCUUCGAUACUGGCUGUCUUGAGUGUGAGAGAGGUGUGUGGAACUCCGAGUGUAGAGGUGAAAUUCGUAGAUAUUCGGAAGAACACCAGUGGCGAAGGCGACACACUGGCUCACUACUGACGCUGAGGCGCGAAAGCGUGGGGAGCAAA